CCUACGGGACGCAGCAGUAGGGAAUCUUCCACAAUGGACGAAAGUCUGAUGGAGCAACGCCGCGUGAGUGAAGAAGGGUUUCGGCUCGUAAAGCUCUGUUGGGAGUGAAGAAAGAUAGAGGUAGUAACUGGCCUUUAUUUGACGGUAAUUACUUAGAAAGUCACGGCUAACUACGUGCCAGCAGCCGCGGUAAUACGGAGGUGGCAAGCGUUGUCCGGAUUUACUGGGUGUAAAGGGCGUGCAGCCGGGCCGACAAGUCAGAUGUGAAAUCCGCGGGCUUAACCUGCGAACUGCAUUUGAAACUA
rnacentral:rRNA from 1 species